GUUAGUGUGGCAGAGCCCGGUAAAUGCAAAAGACCUAAGCCCUUUAACCCAGGGGUUCAACUCCCCUUACUAACU
rnacentral:tRNA from 1 species